rnacentral:siRNA from 1 species
ACGAGACAGUAUACCACGAGUGA